rnacentral:rRNA from 1 species
AUGAACGCUGGCGGCGUGCUUAACACAUGCAAGUCGAACGAAGCAUUUAGGACAGAUUACUUCGGUUUGAAGUUCUUUAUGACUGAGUGGCGGACGGGUGAGUAACGCGUGGGUAACCUGCCUUGUACUGGGGGAUAGCAGCUGGAAACGGCUGGUAAUACCGCAUAAGCGCACAAUGUUGCAUGACAUGGUGUGAAAAACUCCGGUGGUAUAAGAUGGACCCGCGUCUGAUUAGCUAGUUGGUGAGAUAACAGCCCACCAAGGCGACGAUCAGUAGCCGACCUGAGAGGGUGACCGGCCACAUUGGGACUGAGACACGGCCCAGACUCCUACGGGAGGCAGCAGUGGGGAAUAUUGCACAAUGGAGGAAACUCUGAUGCAGCGACGCCGCGUGAGUGAAGAAGUAAUUCGUUAUGUAAAGCUCUAUCAGCAGGGAAGAUAGUGACGGUACCUGACUAAGAAGCGCCGGCUAAAUACGUG